rnacentral:rRNA from 1 species
UACGUAGGUGGCAAGCGUUGUCCGGAUUUACUGGGCGUAAAGAGCGCGCAGGCGGCUGGUCAAGUCCGAUGUGAAAGCUCCCGGCUUAACUGGGAAACGGCAUCGGAAACUGAUCGGCUUGAAGGUGGGAGAGAGUAGUGGAAUUCCCGGUGUAGUGGUGAAAUGCGUAGAUAUCGGGAGGAACACCAGUGGCGAAGGCGACUACUUGGCCCAUUCUUGACGCUGAGGCGCGAAAGCUAGGGGAGCGAACGGG